AUGAACUUAAGUCAUAUAUAUAUUUUUUUAAAGGUUUAUGUAAACAUUCUUUUUUUAGAUGAUUGGAAAUCCAAAAGCAUUAUUCUUCAAUGGAUGAAGUGGAACUGUUGCUCUGGAGUUCAUGAGACUGACUGGUGUCUGUGGACCUCAAGAAGACAUUUUAUGAAGGCCUGGACAGUCUUGACAAAGACAGUUCCAAUCAAAGGAAGAGAAACGCUGUGCUCCGAGGCUUGCCAUACUUCCUGCGAGAAGACCCUACCAAUUUUUUUUAAGACGUGAGAAGACAACUGAUUCUGAGGAAGGCACCCGCGGAGUGAAAAUCGGUGUCGUUGUGGAUGGAGCUGAAGCAGGUGACCCAAUGCCAGCUCAUGUGGGUACAUGAGCUUCACAAUGUCCCAAAUGCCUUUGCCACUUUGAUUGGACUUCUUUAAUGUCUGAAUAUGGAUUACUCAAAAUGUUUGAGGUCUACUUUUGAGGUAGUUCAGAAAAUAUUCUUGAAGAUUGGUGCAGAAAACUACAGCAAAGGUCCAUAGGCUGAACCGUCUUCUUCAUUAAGACAACUAAUUAGUGUGUUUUUGUUUUACUCGCAGUAGUUGAGUUCAUUCCUCGGACAACGAUGCUGUUAUUUGCCUAAAUCUUACAAAUCUCCGUUUUGGGAAGUCUUAAGUUACCCUAUUUUUAUGUGUGACCUUCAGUCUACAAACUGAAGGUCAAAAAAGUGCAUUCUGAAAAUGUUUACACCAUGUUAGAUUUUUUCACACUCAACACCAACUUGUCAUAUAAACCGUUCUGAAGGUUGUCAUUUCUCAGUGUUUUAAUUUUUAUUUACCGUGCCAUAACCAUGUUUCAAUAGUUCCAUUUACAAGUGUAUGGGUUUCUUGGACAGUAAAAAAAAAAGUUUGACAAAACAUUUAUCUUUAUAAAAAAAAAUCUUAGGUGAUAUUGGUUAAGACCAAUUAGUGACAGCAGAAUUUGGAUUCCUGUUUAAAUGCACCCAAAGACAUGCACCUAAAAACAUGCAUUGUUAGAUUUUUUUUCUCUCAUGACAAUCAAAAUGCGUUCUAGGGAACAAUACAUCGUUGCAAAUGUAUUUGUUUGUUAAUACAUAGUGUAAUAAAUGUUCUGAAAUACACAAUAGGACUAUUUUGUUGUUAUUACAAGCUAGAUGGAAUUAAUUGAUUUCGAUGUAAGUUGUUGAAUCGAUCAAUGAACUCUUGAUAGUAAAUCAAUCAUUGGAAAUAUAAAGCCAUUUUAAAAUGGAGAUCAGCUUUACUAAAUCUGAACUUUGUUCAACUGUACAUACUGGGUUAUUUUAAGUUUACAUAUCUUAUUAAAGUAAUUUUGUUGAGUUAGAACAGUGGUUCUCUACUUGCAGCCUGUGGCAAGCUUGUCUGUUAUGUCAUUAAUAGUAUAGUUAUUUAUUUGCUUGACUUGCUCAUAGUCACAGUGUAGCACCACCAGCCAAACAGGUUGAGAACUGUUACAAUAACGCAAUGAAGUAGGCUUGACUUUAAUUGUUAAGUCUUUUAAAUGCUCAGAGCCUUUUUCAUGCUCAGAGCACUUAACAUGUCACGUUACCCUUGCUUAGACCAUUCUGUUAUGUAACCUUUAAAUGUAGUAAUGAAAACUGUAUUACUAGUUACAAUAACUUAAUUGCAAGUUGACUUAACAAAAUGUGAAAUUAAUUCAACUAAAAAUGGUCGGUUAUACUGACAUGAUGAUGUGGACUUAAAUGUUUUUUAUUUGUCAACAGUAAUGUAGCUUUAGUUAUUAGAACUCCACAUUUGUUAACAUAAAGGUUUAAGUUUUUUCAAAUAAUGUUAAAUGAACAAUUAACAAAUGUCAAAUUAACCGUCUAUUAUUAGUCAAAAUAAAUGUAAUAAAAGCUAGGGUAACGUGAAGUACUCUGAGCUUGAAAAAGGCAAUGCAACCAGAUCACUGGAAAUAAUAAGUUGAAACAAUAAAUCAUUUUUAUAGCCUACUUGGUCCCUUCGUGACAAUUUCAACCCUUUCAAUGACUCCAACAUCCUUAAGAAGCUAGAGCACUAAGCACAUUCUGGACGAUUUGUUCCUAAACUUGUUUUUGUGUAGCCUACUCUUGUAUUUUUUGGGUUAUUUGAAAAUGUUUUAGGCGUAUACUUAUUUUUGCCCUCUUGUUUUCUAUUUAGUUAAGCUUUUUUUGUUGACAAAUGUUUUAUAGUGAUUGGUUAGUGUAAAAACUAAAUACAAGGCAAAUACAUUCGUUAAAACAAAUAGAUAGUAGAAAUGACAGGCCUAGGCUGUUUUUAGCCUUCAUCCUUUAUGACCAUAUGAACAAAAUUAUAUACAAUAUUCUGCCCAUAUUAACAAAUUUAUGUAGGCCUAGGCUACAAUAUUUUGCACAUAUGAACACAUUUAUUUUAGGCCAUAACUGAACCAAUUCUUGUAGGCUCUAUAUAUAAUAUUCUGCCCAUAUGAACAAUAGAAUAUUUGUAGCUAAAUAUUUUUUAAUGAAAAGCAGACUCAUGAACACAAUCCUGCAAUAGUAAACAUGCAACAUUUCACAUUCUUUAAUAUCAGACUCAUACACACAAUCACGCAAUAGGCUACAGCUUGCUUCACAGCUUCCCCAGGAAACUCAACAUAUUGUACCCUCAUGUGGAUGAAAGGGUAGCGGAGGAGGGAGUUCACUUCUGCUGCAGUGUUUGCUUCGAUGUGAGAGAGAGAUCGUCAAGGACUCCAGUCACCCGAGCCAAAGACUUAACUCCGUUACCAUCUGGCAAGCGGUAUCGGAGUAUCGGGUCUCGUACCAACAGGAUCCGAGAGAGAUUCUACCACCAGGCCAUCAUUCAGACCGCUUAUAAGCUAAACCUAGUUGUCUCCCUGCACAGACCUGCACCUUAGAGACUAUUUGUGCCUUAGAAAUGAAUUGCAAAAAGAGGCAGGCGAUGCACAUGCGCAUACCGCAGUGGGAGUGAGUAGCUCAGUUUUGUACUGACAACAAUGUGGUUAUGUAGAAGUCAGACAAAGUUCAUUAAGCCUCUAAAAUGGAUAGAUCAAUAUAUCCAUGGGCACAAUUUUCACUGGGACGGGGACCCCCACCAUUCUAAAAUGGCAACUGUAUUCCCCAGUUUGAUCAUUGCAGUGUGAUAUAGGGUUGUAUAUAGAUCUUCUGUUGAAUCUGACAAUUAAUCUUAAUGGUUGUACAGUCGUCUCCAAUAAAACUGUGAAGGACCUCGGCGUUACUCUGGACCCUGAUCUCUCUUUUGAAGAACAUAUCAAGACCAUUUCAAGGACAGCUUUUUUCCAUCUACGUAACAUUGCAAAAAUCUGAAACUUCCUGUCCAAACAUGAUGCAGAAACAUUAAUCCAUGCUUUUGUCAC
rnacentral:lncRNA from 1 species